GAGUAAUGCGUGACCAACCUGCCCCAUGCUCCAGAAUAGCUCUUGGAAACGGGUGGUAAUGCUGGAUGCUCCAACUUGACGCAUGUCUUGUUGGGAAAGUGUUUAGUGGCAUGGGAUGGGGUCGCGUCCUAUCAGCUUGUAGGCGGGGUAAUGGCCCACCUAGGCUUCGACGGGUAGCCGGCCUGAGAGGGCGGACGGCCACAUUGGGACUGAGAUACGGCCCAGACUCCUACGGGAGGCAGCAG
rnacentral:rRNA from 1 species